CAAUACUUCAUUUCUUUCUUUUUAUAAUCUCUACUAUGUUAGAAUUUUAUGAAUGAUGAUUAUACACAAAUUUCAUAACGUUAUGAGGUGUAUAAUCUCUUAACAUGUUUUUAUAACAGAUUCGAGGUAACUAUAGCAGCAGGGUAGAAAAGUCAGCAGAGGGAGAGGAGGAGCAGGUGAUCAGGGUCUAUGCUGAAAUUUCUCAGUGUACCUACAGCUGCAGAGACAUUUGAUGCUGCUACAUCUGGAAUUAUUCAUAGUACUCCUGGGCCAUCUACUGAUCCUAAGGUGAAACUUCAGUCUUCACUCCAACCGAGGAUUGCAUACUGGAUUGCACUACUUGCACUGACUGUGUCAUAUGAUGAGGGCCCCACAACCCUUCAAGCCGGCACUGGUCAUGAUGGUCAGACAGCAGGUGGAUUAUGAUGAUCGGAUGUUACCUGGAGCUGGCAGAAACUGGACAUAUCAAAGAAGCUAACACUGAAGAGACAUCUGAUGCUGCCGAGUCCAAAAUGGUGCAAAAAUGGAGAUGUAUGAAAAAUGGUGUAUGUUUGGUUCCACCUGAUAAAAGCACAUAAUAGCCAGAUUCGGAGGGUAAUUGGUUCUCAUGGUGACGUAAGCAAUUAUCAACAUUUACAGGGAUUAGUCUGUGAUUUUAUUGCCAUCUGAAUCCAGAAUGUUAUUGUUUUUCACCCACCAUCCUAAUAAAAAUCCCCAGCUGAAUUACCAAGGUCAUGUGGUAAUUUAAUUGCUGUCCAAAUCCACAUCUCUCUGAAUAAUUUGUUUCAAAAUUAACUGUUUAAAUCCAUUUUCACCACCAUUUAACACUAUAUACUAACUGUUGUACUUCGCAUGCAUAUUACUGAAAAAAAGAAUACUGAAAUGCUAGAAAGUAUUUACAAGAAUAAUAUUUCAUAACUGCUCCAUCACAUGCUCCCUUUAAGAAGAAAAAG
ensembl:lncRNA